GUAAUGAUACAUCAAUGGAAGGAAGAAAAAUGAGGACACCAGAAGUCCAAUGCCUCCUGACUUUCAAGAAAGUGGCUGCUCCUUCACCCUAUAGAAGAGUUGGAUGGAUUCAGGCUGCUGCCAUUUCGGCGCUAAUGAGUCCUUCCAAUGUGGUUCAGAGCUCCUGCAAGACUAUGAGUUUCAUUCUUUAGGCUACAUCUCAAUAAUGUCCAUGGCAUAAAAGAAGCGUUGGAGAGGAGAAAUACAGAACAGUCCAAGCAC